AUAGCGUAUAUUAAAGUUGUUGCAGUUAAAAAGCUCGUAGUUGAAUUUUGGGUUUGGUUAAACGGUCUCUUCGUAUGAAUUGUACUGUUAUGAUCGAAUCUUUCCUUCUGGCAAACUAUAGUGAUAUUCAUUUAUUGCUAUAGGGAACCAGGACUUUUACUUUGAAAAAAUUAGAGUGUUUAAAGCAGGCUUACGCUUGAAUACAUUAGCAUGGAAUAAUAAAAUAGGACUUUGGUUUUAUUUUGUUGGUUUUCAAGACCGAAGUAAUGAUUAAUAGGGUCAGUUGGGGACAUUAGUAUUUAUUCGUCAGAGGUGAAAUUCUUGGAUUGAAUAAAGACUAACUUCUG
rnacentral:rRNA from 1 species